rnacentral:rRNA from 1 species
GACGAACGCUGGCGGCGUGCCUAAUACAUGCAAGUUGAGCGCUGAAGGUUGGUACUUGUACCAACUGGAUGAGCAGCGAACGGGUGAGUAACGCGUGGGGAAUCUGCCUUUGAGCGGGGGACAACAUUUGGAAACGAAUGCUAAUACCGCAUAAAAACUUUAAACACAAGUUUUAAGUUUGAAAGAUGCAAUUGCAUCACUAAAAGAUGAUACCGCGUUGUAUUAGCUAGUUGGUGAGGUAAAGGCUUACCAAGGCGAUGAUGCAUAGCCGACCUGAGAGGGUGAUCGGCCACAUUGGAACUGAGACACGGUCCAAACCCCUACGGGAGGCAGCAGUAGGGAAUCUUCCGCAAUGGGCGAAAGCCUGACGGAGCAACGCCGCGUGAUUGAUGAAGUUUUUCGGAUCGUAAAACUCUGUUAGUAGGGAAGAACAAAUGUGUAAGUAAAUAUGCACGUCUUGACGGUAACUAACCAGAAAGGCACGGCUAACUUCGUG